CGCCGACCCGAUCAUAUGGGGUGCAGGAGGAAGAGUACGACGGAGGCAGCGCCGUCGCUGGGCGGUGCCCAGCCGCCAGGACACGUAUUGUAUAUGCAAUACCUACCGUGAUGCCAAGAUUCAGCACAGAAAAAGAACUGCAGAGGCAACAAUGGUAAAGAUAGCAACAAUUUUGAUCUAAUAGUGCUCAACCUUUCCUUCAGUUUGUAGUUUUUGAUCUGGACAUUGGGUAGCUGUUAAAGCAAUCUUCUGAUAUGUUGAAUUAAUAGGUAUCCAUUUAUCUCUGGAUUAAUACGCAUUGCUCCAUGACUUGUAAAUAGAGUGAAGGUCAUAAUGCAGAUAGGUUGGCGAAAAAUAUCUUGGAUUUGGUUGGAAUGUCAUCUAUUAACAUAAUUCCAAAACAUGGGAUUCAGUAAUCUGUAACUUAAUCAUUUGCUUAUGUUUGGAUGUGUUUUCUUCUCAGGUUUCAUGUUUCAGACAACCGACUUUGUCUCAUAGACCUCUUCUUGCUGUUGAAGAUAUGCUAAUGUAUUCCACUCCAAUCAUAGCUACUGAAUAAUUUGCUUUGCUCUAGAGAAUAAAUUUUCUUGUCAAGAGAUGUCUUGCCUACAGGUCUAGCCACCAAAACUAAACUGCUAAUGAUUUGUUUAUCGGAUUUGCGUCUUAGAUUUUUAUAUAUCUCUGCCACUAGAUCAUGCCUAUUUAAUUUGCACCCUAGAUUUUCAUACUUGAAAGAAAAUCAGAAGUUUCUCAUAUUUGAGGCUGUCAAAUAGAUGCUCGGAGGUGUCGAAGGCGUGGGAGGUGUGGUUGUUUAAGCACAGCAAGUGUUAUGGCAUUUGCACCGUUUUUUUCAGUAUAACAAAGUCUGUUGGAUAAUGCUUAAUAAUUUAGUAGUAUGGUCUAUAAUUUGUGUAGUAUGAACAUCUUGCAUGCAAUCAUAUGUCUCCCUUCUCCCUUCAUGACGCUCUGCAAUGAUCUUUUUUUUUACAUUCAUAAAUGCUUUUGAAGUAAAUAACACUUUGUAUGCAGCCAUGGUUAUUAUUCCAGACCCUUAUGUUUGUCAAUGAUGGGUAAUGUCAAAUUAGUGCAAUAAAAAUAUCACACGAGAGCACUAAAUAAUUGAAAGGGUCUACAUAAACCAACUACAAAUUCUAUCGGAUAUAUCUAGAUCAAGUAUAUAAAUAGAUACUCUCAUGUCAUGGUCAAGUAGACAUAUGCAUCUUACAUUUCUCCGCCUAUUUUCUACAAGUCAUUAUGUGAGCUUUCAUUUCUAAAUGGUAUAUGUUUAGUUAUUCGUGCAAAGUUUCUGGUUUAUAUUUCAAAUUCUCCUAUGUGGGACAGAUGAUCAUGCUUUUAGCUGUAACUUUAGCUGUCCACUUUCUCAGUUUAUUAUUUUCAGUUUAGGAAACUACAAGGAUCUAUAUCAUGGUUUAAUACAACACUACUUUACAAUGGGAGAUCCUCUUUUGUGUCAGAUGUAAUUGUUGGACAUGGAUAUGUAUUUAACAGAAAGCUGUCCAAUAAAAUUUAAUGUAUUGGGUUCUAGGCAACAGUUUAUAUAACACAAAUGUUGUGCAAAUUUUACAUGCUUGCAGAUUCAAUUGACUGUGACUUUGUACCAUGUUCCUUCGGUAAUUACUGCUUAAAUAGUGUCCCGCUGAGAGUGUCACUAUGUGUUGACCAAACCAUAUGCAGCUUACAGGUAAAAUAAGUGGGUUCUGUUGUUUUGGUUCUCUGUUUUUCACUGAUGGCACUAUGCUAUCAAAUGGCCAUGAGUAACUGUUCUCUCUAUUGUUAUCUUAUAAUGUUCGAUCAGAUAAUCAGGGAUGCUAAUAAGUUCACGAGAUACUUGAAAAGAGUUCUUAAUGCUACUCCUGGUUUUGUUCAUGUUUUCAUUCUUCUACUGAAGAUAGAGUACUGCAAGUAUACUUUAGCUCAAUGGCAUGAUUAUUCUGGAUCAAGAUUUUACAUAAUGUGAAUAGAUGGCUGCCUGGUUUAGCUUAGUUUUUUUAGAUGGAGUAAACAUACAGCUUUGUAGUUUUCUUAGGUCAUAGCUACUGAUGUCUGCAGGCAUGCAAGUAAUGGUGUACUGUCCUCACAUCAUUCAUGUGGCAUAUCUCAUUUCAGAGUAGUACCUUGCUAACUGGCUGGUUGUAGUCAAGGUAAUACCCAUUUUUGAUCAUUCAAACAGCUAGGAAAUACCUGGAAAAAAAAUCAUGCUUCCAUGUACACAUGAGUCAUGUCAUUUGAGUUAGAUCUAACACGCGUCCACUCUUGAAUAUCUUAGUGUAUAUCAUAGAGAUCAUUUUUUUUCCAGGUUAGGUGUUAUACUGUUACAGAUGCAUAUUGAAUUGAGUCCCUGCAACACGGAAAAUUCAGGGCAUGGUUUAUAUCUUGCCUGAUGAAUCUAUUUUAUUUAUUACCUCCAAUGGGCGGAGAAAUGGGUUAUGUUUUCUCCUUCUCUGAUAUACAAAUAUGUAUAGGUCACAGGAGGUCUUUACGUGUUCUUCUGUUUGUUAGUACAAAAAUAAGGAACUGAGAGAAGACACUCUUGCAAAUUAUGCAUUCCAUUUAGCUGGUGAACAAUUACCGAACUGGUAGACCUGUCUUGAUAUUUGUUUUCUUGGAGCGCCACAUCCUAUUUGUAUGUAACAUUCUGCUCAUUUGAUUUACCACUUCUCUUAGUAUCAUACUGAUUUUUUUGUUCUUCGAAUAUGCUGCCCUUGGUGCUUCUGGUCUUCCUAUUUCGUUACUCACCGUUUUGAAGAGAUUCAUACUGACUAUUGAGUAAGUGACAACAAGCUGUGAAAAUAGAACGAAGGCAUGAGGCAUAUUCUUACCUGAAUGAAAUGACCCGAGUGUCGACCAUUUAAGAACAUGGCAUUUUAUUAGCCGGGAGGCUAGAGUGGGGCCCAAGUUUAACUUAAUGAAGCCCACACAACAGAAGAUGGCAUUUCAUGAUGGGCGAACUGCAAUAGUGCUACACAAGGAGAUGACCCAAAAGGCAAAACGAAGGUGGACUUGGGUUGCACUGCAACCUUGAGGAUACCAAGACCGGGGACACAUCAGAAGACUCAAAUCUCUCUAGCUUAGAAGCCACUUCCUGAAGGUUUUAUAAAGGCUAACACCGAUGCUUGCUUCAUUGAUGAAUCUGGGGUUGAUAGCGCUGGACUGGUUGGCUGGGAUCACCUGGGAAGUGUCACUUCUACGCAGCCUGUCCGAUGAGAGGACGAAUCAGAGCUGAAGAAGCAGAAGUUGAGGUACUACAGGGCAUGCAACUCAGCGUGAACUUUGGCUGUAGGAGCAUUGUGACAAAGUCUCAGAGAGCCAGACGGUGGUUAACACAGAUCAAUUCCAAUCUGUGCAGCCUCUCUGCCUCAAGUAUGAUUGUUGGGUAGAGUGUUGAGCAGUGUGUGAUCAAACCUUUGUAAUCGAUUGUAAUACUCGAGUGACAAUAAUGUAUAAGCACAUUUUCAUCUUAAAAAUAAGAAGACAAAUAGAAUUGAAAAUCUAGCUUCGUGAGCUAGAGGCAAA